GGGGCUAUAACUCAAUUGGUACAGUAUUUGCUUCACAUGCAAAGCCAUGGGUUCAAUCUCUAGCACCA
rnacentral:tRNA from 1 species